rnacentral:rRNA from 1 species
GUCUAGGGCCAUUCCUCCCUGAAUGCACCUGACCUCACUGAUCAGAAGCCAAACAGGGUUGGGCCUGAUUAGUACUUGGUUGGGAGACGCCUUAUCACCCAGAGAAAAUCUAAAUAAGCUGGCAUUCGAGGCA